rnacentral:lncRNA from 1 species
CUUCCUCCUUGUGCCCCGAAGGCCAGCCCGGCACUCAGAAGCUUUGGAGUCUCCCAAAAUGCCUGCUGGGUCUCUGCAGGACUGGCACCUGUCACCGGAACCUGUCUGGGAGGGACGAGAACACGCUUUGCAAGAGGAAGCUCUGCCUCACAGAGCCCUGGGCUCACUCAGGGACCCUGGCCAGCAGCUGCUUCCUCUCCCCACAGCGGAGAGAGACCCAAGGGUCCCAGGGCGGAUGCUUCCCACCAGGCCAGCCCAGCGUGCAGGGUGGCCUCGUAAGUCCUGAUUGACAUAUGGACAGUGGUUCAGAGAGGUUACGCUACUUGCUCAAGGUCACCCAGCUCCCAGGCCCCUGCUGUCUUCCAGGCCACUGAGGUCCUAAGCGUCCUUCCAGGCGAGCCACUGCUCACAGCCUGUUCCUCAUGUUCUGCGGCAGGUUUGUGUAUCUACAUCUUUUCCAGUUCCCUGUCGUCCCCCUUCCUACACCUCGUCAUCCACUAUCCCUGUUUGUUUUCUCUGUUCCUUUCUAGUUCUCUACCUGCUCCUCUUAUUUUUAUUUGAGACAGGGUCUUUCUUUGUCACUGAGGCUGGAGUGCAGUGGCACAAUCCCAGCUCACUGGAGCCUCGACCUCCCAGGCUCAAGUGAUCCCCCGCCUCAGCCUCUUGAGUAGCUGGGACCACAGGCAUGCAUCACCACACCAGGCUAAUUUUUUAUUUUUUGUAGAGAUGGGGUCUCACUGUGUUGCCCAGGCUGGUCUUGCACUCCUGGGCUCAAGAGAUCCUCCCACCUUGGUCUCCCAAAGUGCUGGGAUGCCAGGUGUGCACCGCCAUCCUCGGCCUUACUCUUCUCUUCCUCUCUCAGCCCCUCUGCCUCACUAUCCCUCUUUCUGUGCCCUCCCCCACACAGCCCCCCACACUUCUUCUUAGUCUCAUCUUCAGCUUCCCAUACGAGGCCAUCCUCAUGAAAUCAGGCACUGGGAGGUCCCUGGGGACUGACAAGUGCCAGCUGUCCCUUGCUGUCUCUCUGCCCCAUGGCUGCAGCAGGGAGGGUGGGCAAAGGGCAGAGGUGACAGUGGCCAAACCUGAAACUGAGGCCCAGCUCUGGUUGGGAAAGAAACAAGGAAACAAAAUAACUUGGGGACAGAGGGCGUGGGGUCAUCAGAGCGGGCAAAGGCUGCCCAGGAGUUGUAAAUCCGAGCCGCUCCCGGCUUUAUGAGGCCGAUUUGGGGUUGAGCCUGGACUUUGCCCAGGAAGGAGUGCUGGCAGCACACGGGGCGCCAGGUGUGGGCCCCGGAUGAUAAGAAGCCUCGGUGAAAAGACCAUGGACCUGGGGCCACGAAGACUGGGGAGCCCAGCAACUCCAUGUGGAAGUGCCCACUGGUUCCAGUGGGGCUGCUGUUAUCUGGGGCGAGGGCCAGUACCCACGAAGAAGGAGAGGCAGGUGCUGGCCAGCAGACCAGCCAGGACUACCGUGGCGACGCUCCCAGGCCAGAUGGUGGCGGGUAGUGGAGGGCUGUCGGUGGGCUGCCGAGACCGAGUGCACAGGGCUCUGACCUAUGAAUUGACAGCCAGUGCUCUCGUCUCCCCUCUGGCUGCCAAUUCCAUAGGUCACAGGUAUGUUCGCCUCAAUGCCAGCCACCAGGACCUGCAGGGAUAGGGGAGGGCCGGGGGUGUCCAGCAGUCAGCAGAGAUCCUGCGACCCCAGUGCAGCACUCAUGGUCCCACCUCCCUCUGUCUCAUUCCCCGUGAAUGAGCCUGAACAGCUUCAGUCCUGCCCCUGCCCUGCCUGCCCUGUGGCACCUCUAUGCUUUGCCCAUGCUGUUCCCUUGGGCUGCAAUACUCUUCCUAGCUUAUUUGCCAGGCUCACUCUUACUAACCCUUUCAAGCUCUGUCCAAGCAUUUGCUGCCUCCAGAAGGCCUUAUUGAAGCUUCUAAGUCCCCACCUGGGCACCCCCACACAGUGCUGCCGCAGAGCACUGCCCUCUCGGAGCCCCGGUGCUGGUUUCUGCUUAUGUCUCGCUCCUCUCCCCAUCUGUGAGCUCAGUUCCCAGCCCAGGCGCGUGCCCAAUAAAUGUUUGCUGAACCAAUCCUGAGCCUCUGUCUUGCACCCUGAGGAAGCACCCACCGACAUGCAGUGUGGCCAAGGGGGGCUGAGUGCUCUAGGCCCAGUGUUUGUGCUGGAGCCCCCCCACCCAGGAUGGGGCCCUGAGCCAGCCUCCCCAUCUGCUUCCUACUCUCCCCUCCUUUGCCAGUCUCAUCUCCCUGGAGCACAGCCCUGUGGUUGGUGGAGCAGCUUCUCCAGCCCCUAGGAUUCCUAAGAGGGCCCAGGACCCCAGCUGCUGGUAGAGGAAGAGCAGCCAACCCAGGACAGGACAGCUGACCCCACCCCUGUCCCGCCUCCCACAACAGCCUCAUUUCCACCUAUUUCUUUGUGGUGUUUGUUUGUUUGUUUUGAGACAGAGUCUUGCUCUGUUGCCCAGGCUGGAAUGCAACAGGCUUCCUCCCAGGAGGAAGCCUCCCCUCCUGGCAUGAUCUCAGCUCACUGCAACCUCUGCCUCCUGGGUUCAAGCGAUUCUCCUGCCUCAGCCUCCCAAAUAGCUGAGAUUACAGGCAUGCACCACCAUGCCCAGCUAAUUUUUGUGUUUUUAGUAGAGACUGGGUUUCACCAUGUUGGCCAGGCUGGUCUCGAACUCCUGACCUCAGAUAAUCUGCCCACCUCGGCCUCCCAGAGUGCCGGGAUUAUAGGUGUGAGCCACCGCGCCCAGCCCCACCUGUUUCUUAUACAACGGGGUUCUGAGGAAAUUUUCCUUUUUUUUUUUUUUUUUUUUUGAGACAGGGUCUUGCUCGCUUUGUCACCCAGGCUGGAGCGCAGUGGUACAAUCACAGCUUGCUGCAGCCUCCACCUGCCAGGGCUCACACAGUCCUCCCAUCUCAGCCUCCCAAAUAGCUGUGACUACAGGCACGUGCCACCAUGCCUGGUUAAUUUUUGUAUUUUUCGUAGAGAUGGGGUUUCACCAUGUUGCCCAGGCUGGUCUCAAAUUCCUGGCCUCAAGCAGUCCUGCCUCAGCCCCCCAAACUGCUGGGAUUACAGGCAUGAGCCACUGUGCCCUGUCAGAAUUUUUCAUUUGAAUAAAAAGGUUUCUGGUACUACAAAAUAAAAUUUGUAAAAUGGGAAAUAGAGACCUAGGAAUAAAUGUCAAAUUGCUUAAUAACAGGCGUUGGCUAUUGAGCCCUUUCUGUCUGCUGGGCACGCACAUCCAGGACCUGGUCCUCCUGGCAUCCAUCAUGAACCUGUUUGGGACAGGAGGACACAGGCUCAGAGAGGGUGCACAUUUGCUGAAGUCACAGAGCAAGUUGGACCUUCUCCUGGGGACUGUAGGCAGCCAACAAACAUCUGGCCCCUAAGACACUGUCUCUCUCCCCUUCCCACAGGCAGCUCUGCUCACACUGUCCUGGCUGCUCUGAAUCCCUGGGCCCCGAUUGGCCCCUGCCGUGGCCCAGCUCAGCAACCCCUCCCUGCAGACCAUCCCAUGACUCUGCAGGCGCUGCUCCCCUCUCUGCCCACACCCCGGCUUCGUGGGCCUCUCCCGCCACCCUUAUCUCAUUCCCUACAGAGUUAAGGAGCCCUGUGUGCUUAUCUAAUCCUGUGCUAGUUUCAGACUCCUUGAGGGCAAGGUCCAUGACUUACUCAUCCUCCCUGGCUGCUUCCCCCACCCACCAGCAUAGUAGGUGUUCAGGAUACAUGGGCUGGAUGGUAGGGCCCUGGACUCUAACCCUCUUGGGGCUGUCAGGCCUCAGACUCAGAGCACUGGCAUAGGGUGAAAGGGGAGCAGACAGCAGCCACCCUGCCCUGGGGGUCCUCCUGCAUCUGCCUCUGCAGAGCACUGCGAUCCCACAAAGGCCUGCGAGGGCUAUUGGAGACCUGUUCCAAUGCAUGAGCAAGGCGGAUCCAGCACCCUCCCCCAGCUCCUUGAGCCCACUGACCUGUGUCCUUUACCCAGCAGGCCCUGGGCCCAUGCACAUUUCCCUGGCCUGGGUCUCACCUCCAACCCCUCUCAGAACUCCUCAAGACCUGCCCAAGGGUCACUCCCUCGCGGACACCUGCCUGGCCCCCCGCCCCGCCCCCCAUUACCCCACUCACUGGCUCCCUGGAUGCUCUGUGGCUGGGAUGUUAGCGCCCCCAUCAUGCCCCAUCACCCACACCGGGCUAUUUCCCCCACCAGCCUGAAAGCCCCCAGGAGUGGCGGCCACUGACUUUUUUCCUGUAGCCUCAGACUCAAAGGAGGCACUUAAUAAAUGCACACAGAA